GAUGAACGCUGGCGGCGUGCCUAAUACAUGCAAGUCGAACGAACAGACGAGGAGCUUGCUCCUCUGACGUUAGCGGCGGACGGGUGAGUAACACGUGGAUAACCUACCUAUAAGACUGGUAUAACUUCGAGAAACCGGAUCUAAUACCGGAUAAUAUCUUGAACCGCAUGGUUCAAUAGUGAAAGACGGUUGUGCUGGCUCUUAUAGAUGGAUCCGGGCCGCAUUAGAUAGUUGGUAAGGUAACGGCCUACCAAGGGAAGGAUGCGUAGCCGAACUGAUAGAGGGAUAGGCGACACGAGAGCUUGAACAGGGACCAUGCUCCUACGGGAGGCAGCAGUAUGGAACCUUACGCAAAAGGCGAGAACCUGGCGGAGCAGGGCGGAGUGAGUGGUGAAGGUCUUCCGAUCGGGAUACUCUGUUAUUAGGGAUGAACAAAUGUGUAAGUAGCUGUACACGUCUUGACGGUACCUAAUCAGAAAGCAACGGCUAACUACGUG
rnacentral:rRNA from 1 species